CCCUUAGAUGUUCUGGGCUGCACGCGCGCUACACUGAUGCACUCAACGAGUUUCUGACCUUGUCCGAGAGGAUUGGGUAAUCUUUUUAAAAUGCAUCGUGAUGGGGAUAGAUUAUUGCAAUUAUUAAUCUUCAACGAGGAAUGCCUAGUAGGCGCAAGUCAUCAGCUUGCGUCGAUUACGUCCCUGCCCUUUGUACACACCGCCCGUCGCUCCUACCGAUUGGGUGUGCUGGUGAAAUGUUCGGAUCGGCCGUUUGUCGCGGUUUCCGCGUCAUGUGGCUGAGAAGUUCAUUAAACCCUCCCACCUAGAGGAAGGAGAAGUCGUAACA
rnacentral:rRNA from 1 species